UACGUAGGGUGCGAGCGUUGUCCGAAAUUAUUGGGCGUAAAGGGCUCGUAGGCGGUCCAUCGCGUCGGGAGUGAAAAGCUGGGGCUUAACCCCAGUCCUGCUUUCGAUACGGGUGGACUAGAGGUAGGCAGGGGAGAAUGGAAUUCCUGGUGUAGCGGUGAAAUGCGCAGAUAUCAGGAGGAACACCGGUGGCGAAGGCGGUUCUCUGGGCCUUACCUGACGCUGAGAAGCGAAAGCAUGGGGAGCGAACAGG
rnacentral:rRNA from 1 species